rnacentral:rRNA from 1 species
UCUAAAGUCUGACCUGCCCAAUGAAAUUUAAAUGGCUGCGGUAUUUUGACCGUACAAAGGUAGCAUAAUAAUUAGUUUUUUAAUUGAAAGCUGGAAUGAAAGGUUGGACGAGAAAAUAGCUGUCUCAAUUUAAUUUUAAUUAGAAUUUUAUUUUUAAGUAAGAAAGCUUAAAUUUUUUUAAAAGACGAGAAGACCCUAUAGAGCUUUAUAUAAUUAAUUUUAAUAAUAUUUUGGGUUAUUUAAUAUUUUAUUUUUAGUUGUAUUUUGUUGGGGUGAUAGAAAAAUUUGAUUAACUUUUUUUUUAUUAAAACAUUAAUUUAUGAUUUAUUGAUCCAUUAGUAAUGAUUACAAGAUUAAGUUACCUUAGGGAUAACAGCGUAAUUUUUUUUUAGAGUUCUUAUCGAAAAAAAAGGUUGCGACCUCGAUGUUGGAUUAAAAUUAAUAUUUGGUGUAGAUGCUAAAUUAUUGGGUCUGUUCGACCUUUAAAAUUUUACAUGAUCUGAGUUUAAACCGGUGUAAGCCAGGUUGGUUUCUAUCUUUAAAUAAUUAGAAUAUUUUAGUACGAAAGGACCAAAUAUUUAUAAUAUUUAUUUAUAUUUUGAAUAAUAUUAA